rnacentral:lncRNA from 1 species
GGUGCUUUUAAAAUGCUGCGUUCAGGGACAGGUUCUGUGUCAAGAUAGUGUAUGUCAAAGCACAUGGUCCAUUAACUGCUCCAGGUAAUAGCUUUGGCAGAGCCCUUUUUUGGAAGACUCUUCAGUCUUUAUGAAAUUUACUACAGGCUCCAGACAUUAAUUCAAAAUACCCAAAGUAAUCUGUCGGAAGUAGGCCUAAUUUCUUGGUGUAUGAGAAUGUGUAUGAUAAGAGCAGGAAAAGUACACAUUUCUGAAUGCCUCCUCCUAUAUGAUUGUUAACCAAUGAAUCCCAUAUUGAAGUCCAGACAUUCAAAAUCGCUUUAUUUUUAAUGAAAGAAGUAAAGCUGUGGACCCGAUUCUCACCUAUAGCAAGUCAGUCUGGGUACAAAUGGUUCUGUAAUGGUGAAACCACCUUAAGAAUAGUGUACGAGUAGUUAUGUAGUAUGAGGGCUGCUCUGAAAGUAAUGCCUCCUAUUUUUAUUAUAUUGGACAAAGUGUUAUGCUCUAUAUUAUUAGUCCUGGGUUCAUGAAGUACUUUAAUACAUUUCUCUUUUAGCUUAGAUUUACUAAAAGUAAUAAGUACAGAAUAUUCUGUAACUCUCUUCCCUUUUUUCUCAUGGAUGAAUGAGCACUGAGUUUUCAGAAUGUUACAGCAUGUUUUAUUAGUGAAGCUGAUGCAACUUCGGGAUGGAUGAGAAUCAAUUCCAAAAGUAGUUGUCUGUUCAGAUAAAAAUCUAGCAUUGAAGAGGCUUGGUAUGCAGUUUGAGAGAAAUUAUAUUAGCAUUGUACUUUCUUUUUUAUGUGUAAUUUUGUUUAAAUUCGUGCAGAUGCAGAAGUAGCUGGUUCUGCUGCAACUCAAAUAUUUUCUCAUUUGAAAUGAAUGUAAAAUGUGCUUUGUUUUUCCUUUAUCCUCUGUACUGAGAUGCAUCAUAUUGCACUGUGUUUUUGGCUCAGGAUUUUCAUGGACUAUAAUUAUUUGACCCCUGUGAGUGAAAUAUUAUUUUCAUUAAUGGAAAAGCUUUGGAAGAGAAGAGUAAAAUUGCUUGUUUGAAUUAUAUGGAGCUCUUAGACUUACGGUCUAAUUGCUGGACUACGUCUAUCUUCAGUAAAUUCUUUACGAAACUUUGUAAGCCAGAGUAAUGCUGUCUAAGCAGACCUACGCGUGCUUUUCUGAUUUUUAAAUUGCACAACCAAGAGCAAGACUAUGAAAUUUUGUUUACAGAACACUUUAUCUUGAAAUGCACAUAAAUGAGCUAUCUUCUGUGAAGAGUACAAAAUAGUUUGUAAUUUUCCUGACAAAACAGGCAAAGAACCCUCUAUGAUUUUUAUCUUAAGCUGGCAAAGAACUAACUUUCUGGAAAGAAAAACUAAUUUUUAAGAAGUCAGUAUUGGGUAGCAAAAAAUAAGAGUGGCUACUUCUUUUGGAAAGCAUAUGAUGAAGUGGACUCUGCAUUUGUUGUUGACUUUCUCCUUUUCAAACUUAAGUAUUUGCAUUACUUACUUUAGAAUGUUAGCUGUUGUCACUGACAACUUGUUUUCACAGUUGUUCUAUGAAUACCUCGGUGUUUCAAUUCAGUUGGUUCCAUCACAAGACAGACGUAUUAGCUCAUAGAUGAGAAGCUUUUCAAGCCAGUGGUACCUUCUUGUACAGGAAAUAAAAAACAACACAGAAAAUGAAAGAACUCGGAACUACAGCUUCCCAAACGCACCACCUUGGGAUAAAUCUCCAUUCAUUAAAAAAACUGAAAACUGCUAUUUUACAAAAAAAGUAAAUGAGAAACUAAAAAGGUUUCUUUUUAAGGAAGCUCGGCUUUCUUCAUUGGCAGUAUCACUGUAAAAAAAAUUUCCUAAAGUGUCUGAAAAGCAAAAGGUAAAUAUCCUCUGCAUUUCAAUAUUAUUGGCUGUGGGAGUCCUCCUGUCGAGUUUUCUUCGUUCUUAGUAGGCUUGGUCUCAAUGGAAAUCUUAGCACCUGAAGGUACAAGGCAGCCUUCCACAUAGCAUCCUACGGAACAGUUUGAGGCAAAGACAAACUAAAACAUCAUUUUACCUGAAAAAUAAAAUUGUGGAAGAAUACAAGAUAUCAGAUUAUUCUGGCAGUAAGCCUCAAAGCAAAUGUUCUUCAGCGUGACAAGCUAAGCAUGAAAGUAUAUGCCUUAUUAGCAUGCAAAUUCUAUAUAUAUGAUUCAUUUGUUGUGUAAUGUCAUUUUUUUUUUUUUGCUUUAUCAGAAUCAUAUAUGUACUACUAUAUAGAGAGACUAUUAAAUGACUGUAUUUCACUGUUCAAGAGGAUGAAAGUCAAGGUGACGGUAAUUUCAAACUUUAGUAGCCAUCUUAUAUACCUUCUUUUAUAAUAGAUGAUUCCAAUUUUCCCCAAAGGAGGGGUUUUACUUCUUAUUACUUCAUACAUCCCAUUAUUUUUUUUUUGUUUUAAUUUGUUUUUUCGUUGCCUUAUUUCUUCUCUUUCAUAGUUGUUUCAGAUAGUCUCUUUCUCCUGAGGUUCUAAUGCUGAUGAAUUUUACACUGCUAUCGGUACUUCAUCUCUGCAUAUAUCUCUUUCCCAGAAAAAAUUGUGCCUCGGUGAUCUCAAAGAGCAACUGUCUUGUGUUUUAAGAGGAUUUGUAAGAGUUGAGCUAUGACUUCUAGACGUGCUGCUUUAGCUUGCCAGAUAGAUUUGUUUGACUCAACUGCCAUUGUGCUUUUUAAGAUGCUGAAUUACCUGUCCUUCUGAUACGUGUCAGUAAUAGCCACUGGGGCUUAACAGUUGCGUAGUUGAAAAGAUGUGUAAAAGCAGAGUUUACUUUGUAUUACUGUUAUUUAUAAUUUCCUGACAUUCAGCGUCUUUAAUUGCAGCGUAUGUUUGGCUGGGGCUGAAGCUUUCAGGAUCACUGCUCUGUAUGCUUUCUCUCCUUCAGCAGUGUACUGUGGGUACAGCAAUUCAGUCAUCUGCUAGCUGCAGUACUUGGUAAAUACUUGGGAACUGGGUGUUGAACUUCUGUUCCUUUUGUCUGGAAUCCCCACACAAAGUUGCAUGUUGAUGUCCAAAGCCUUUUGUUUUUAUUAUGCAAGGAAAAACGGACCAAUUAAGAAUGUUUUCAUAGCUUUAUAAUGGCACAAGAACACUGUGUGUAGAGUUCUUUGUUUAGAAAUUAAAGUGCAUAGGUGUUCCUAAAGAGAAAUAAGAAGGAUAUUUUCCACUUAUUUUUGUUCCAUCUUUCCUUUGAAGUCUGGAUUAGUUAGGCUUUUCAGGAUCUCCUAUUAACUUUUUUUGGGAAAUGAAUGGACUUGGAGAGUGCUUAAGCAGUGGAGGAGAUGAUUUUUAAGGUAUCUGAGAAACAUCUGAACUUCUAGCAUCUACUGUCAGAAGUUCAGAGUACUGUUAGAUUCUGCUUAGAGCAAACACUGCUAAUUCUUGGUCUUCCUAAAAUUUAAUUUUAGAGCUGAAACAUUCUCUUUCUCCUUGUUUUCUGUGUGGUGUGUUUUUAUUUUUAAGGCUUUAGAUGUAACUUCAAUACAUUCUAAUGUUAUCAAUUAUGUAAGGCUUCUGGAGCUUUGAAAUGUUAUUAUACAGGUGAAUUUCUGCUUUGAGAACAGCUUUUGUGGGAGGUGGCAGAAAGGAAGGGAAGCAAAGCCAUUCUUGUUUGGGCAGCAGGAUUCUGGAAUCAGGGAGGAGAUGAAACCACAAGGAUUCCUCAGCGCUUGUGGUGCUGGUAUCGACAUCUGGAAAGUAGAAAACAAUCUUCUGAAUGCUAUUCAAGUAACACGUUUUAGUUCUUUCUAGGGUGAUGUAAGAAAAUAGCCUUUUUCAGUAGAACCAAGUUCUUUCUUCCCUCCCGCUAUGUACGCCUACACCAAUGUUUUUUCAGCUCUGCAAGUGUGUUUUUUCUCACUCUCCCUCUGGUGUGUAGGCGGCCUUCCCAAUCACAACUGAGCUUCACAGGCAAUCUUUUUUUUUCUUUUUUUAAAAAAAGUCAUCUUUACACAGCAGGUCUAUAAUUUAACACCAAAGAAAAGGAGAAUUGAGAGCUCUGGUUUAGAAUUAUGAUGCGUCUCAGUAAUGGUUGAAUGGAAGAAGUUCCCCUUAAAGAAAAUGGGGAAAAUUUUUCUUGACCAGAAGGCCACCGCCUGUGGAAAUUUAUUCACCUGCUGCCAAAAUGACUUGUCCAACUGUCAGAAGUGCAAUCACAGGCAGACUUUAAACACUGUACUUGCAUCAUUAGACUGAGUUGGGAUUGAGCAUUUCUGCCUCCAGAUUAGAAUGUGAUUCUGCUUGCAAGAGACAGGCUUGUUGGUCAGUGAAAGUUUAAAAGUAAUUCUUACUUGACUGUUACCUUUAGGAUGAGCUCCAUUUAUAAUUGAAAUUAGGCUAUAAUUACUUUCACAAGCCCUGAUAGUGCUGCCUGGCACAUUUUAAAGAGUUUUGGUUUACACUACCAUUCUUCUUACAAGUAUUCAAACUUUACUCAGCUCUUGAAAUACUGUUGGGAGAGUAACAAUUCAUUUGUUUCAGCAACCUGACAUUUUGAAGAUAACCGUAAUAAAAGAACUAAUGCUUGCGCCGUGGUUAUGUGUGCAGCUUAAGCUGGCACUGCAGCUGUCAGCAGCUGUCCUUGACUGCUUGGUCUGUCCCAUGCUGUCUCCACAUCAGUGCAGAUGCUAAUUGGCCUUGCAGUGAGCUGUGAUUUUUGGGAAACCAGGUUGGAGAAACAAUCCAGGCCUUCUUCAGGCUCCUUAUAUAGAGUGAGGUUUUAAUAUCCUCCUCUGACAUGAUUCACUGAGCGUCUCCACCAACAUAUGAGCGUGGUGGGAGCUGAGGAUGACAACAUUCAGCAGCAGUUUGUGCUCCAGCUUCUGCUUGUUCCUCCAUGGAGUUCCUGGGACUGCAGCAUCAAUCUCCAUGGUUACGUCUGCUCACUCGGUCUAAAUAUAGAGGGCUCCCUGCAUCUACGGAUGCAAAUUUUUUGUAGCAAUAGACAGAGGUCAGAUGGUAAGGCUAAUGCUGAAACAAUACAGGCUUUAUUACAGGGCAGUGUAAAUAGGAAGGACUGGUCUGGAAACUUUUCUUGCUGCCUUUAGAGAUCUCACUGCAGUUGGUGACUUAGAUAAAUUUGCUCUUGCUGUCCCCUGUGCUUGACAAAUGUGAUUAGCUUUGUGCUGAACGGUGAGGGAAAGUGGGCCACAGUACUGAGAAGUAUCCUGGUUUUUUAGGUGCAACCAAAUGUUUGUUUAAUCCCCAAAUGUCUGGCAGAAUGUGUUUCAGGAGAAAGAUCACUUUUUUCAGAGAGAGGGUGAUAAAAGAAGGUUGGGAUUGUUAUAGUGAGAAACUUCUCACCUAAGCACACUAAGAAGAGGGAAUCUUAGCUGCGGAAACCAAAAUUUAUGGUCUUACAAAUCUUUGUGGUUCCUUCUGGCUUCCUACAAGCUGAAGAUAUUUCCUAAAUAUCCCUUUACCUUUUGAGAAAGUUCACCUUUUGAUUUCCUGUUCGAAUUUUGUUCCCAUCUGUGUGGUCUUCCUGCUUCUGAGUCACUGGCAGUUUUUGUUUGAGCUUUCCUUGUUCCUUCAGGAAGUUGAACAGGUGAGAACGCAUGCUCUUAUUCUGUGCUGUCUGAUGGACAUCCUUUGUAUCAGUGCUCCUUGUCAUGCAAUCAUUGUUGGAUUUGCAACAUCUGACAGCACACACUGCUUCAAGCAGUGUGGGAAGAGGGUGCCCUCCAGAAGAAGGGUUAAUGGUGUAAGCUGCCAUCCUCGGAGUGCCAGCCCAUACCCAAUCUGCAGCUGAAUGCACCUGCUCUAUGUGAGAGCUUUCUUCAGGGAGGAGAUAUGAGGGUACUGCAUUGCUGCUCCCUCCUUGCUUCCUGCGAGAUGUUUGUGGAUGUGUUUCUGAAAGCAGGUUGUGCUCUGCUCAGACAGUUACAGAAUGCAUGGUUUUGUCACAUUUUCAGGAGCUCAGCAGAUCUUGUAGGUGGUAUAUUUUAAGCUACCUGUGAAAAUAAACUCAUGUUGUAAGGAAAAAAAAGGGAUGAUUAUUCUGAAUAUGCCUGCUUGAUUCUUGGACCACAGGCUAAAAGCCAGUCUUCACCAUUCUUUCACUGAACCUAUAAUAUACUUCUAGGGAGUUAAUGAAAAGAUAAAGAUGACGUUGCAAGCAUGAGAUACUGCAGUUCUGUCCAUUCAGCCUUGCCAUCUGCCUAGUAUCUGUACAAUCCCUUCACAGGUGUGCAGUGGCUCCGAUUCAAGAAGGCAUAGCAGGAAGAUUGGAAAAUUGUAGUGCAUGGUUUUGGUUUUUGCCAGGGGUUGGGGAGUGGUGGUGGUGGUUUUGUGAAGAUAGACGGGGGUGGAUUAGCAUUCUGACUGAACAGCUUCCUCAUCUAACUCAACAUGUUGCACAAGUCGUAGUGCUGCCUGAAGGGAGAAGACCAGGGUACUUGUUAGGGACCACAGUGAGAACAACGCUGAGGUCUGGAUGUAGAUCAGUUGGAGCUGAUUUGCAACCUGAUGCUGGAAGUUGUUGUCAGAAGUGCUGGUACAGCCCCCUCCUCUGAAAACAUUAUAAUGAUGUGUUUAUUGACAAAUGCUUACAUUUACAGAUGUGGGAUAUGCAAAGGAAGUCCAGAUUUGGAAAUGGCAGGCACUGUAACAAAUAUUGCUACUAAAGAAAAUAUCCUCCCUUGUAAACAUCAGCGUGUGGUAUGUUUAAAGAAAGAGAGUUCUUAUUUGAGAGAAUUAGUCGCAACAUUUGUUUGUUAUUUGAAAUUGUUUCUGGAAGAAUUUUUAAGAUUGCUGAAUUCCAACUCCUAACAGUAUUAGCUAGAGCUCAAGCUAUUUCACUGGAGACUUUUCCUAUGGUUUGUAGGCUUAUAAGAUCUAUGUUCCUGUACACUCAGGCUCAUAUACUGAAAUCGAUUAACAGGUUAAUCAUAGUAUCAAGUAACUUCUCUAGAAAUUUAGAUGUGCUCCAAGAAAGCUGAAUUUUCCUUGUUUUGAAUACCUUUACAUAUCUAUUUACACACUAUAUUUAGUUGCAAGGCAUUCAGUAGCUUUAAUUUAUUGUCUUCUGUAAUAUUUUUGUGCCACAAUAUCGCAUUGAUAACUACAGUUACUAUCUGUACAUGGAAAAGAAUUGGGAAAUGCCUGGUAUUUUUACCUUCUCUUAUGUAAAAUGCUGCAGUGAAUUAAUAGAUAUUAGCGAUGUUGUUGAGAGAUUUAAUGUACUGAAAAACAAUUGCAACUGAACCCUUCAAUUGAACAAAACUUGAUAAUGUUCUUAAUAGCUAAAUAUACCCUUAAUAAUAGGAAAUAUGUUCAUGAGAGGUCUCACCUUCAUUUCACUGUGUCUGAGACUGAAUGAAAUGCAUAUUAUUUCGAUUAAGUGUAUGGUGGUAAAUUUUUGACUAGCUGUAAGGUUUUGAUGCUUAAAUCGCUGUUCUCUGUUGGUCAGGAGUUGUGGAGUGGGUGGGGUUGGCAGGCCCUCUGGGUCCAACUGCCCCAACCUUUGAUCCAGCAGGGAUGCCCAGAGUGGAGUGCCCAGGGCCAUGACCGUGCGCCUUCUGAACAUCUCCAAGCUGGAGAGCCUCUGGGCAGCCUGUGCCAGUGUUCCGUCACCUGCACUGCACAGAUACGUUUCUGGUGGUCAGAGGGAACAUCUCGUGCUCCACUUGUGUCCACUGCCUCUUGUCCUGGUACUGAGCACCACUGAAAAGAGCCUGUUUCUGUUCUCUUUGCACGCUCCCUUCACGUAUUAAAACAAACUGAUACCUCAAUGACUGAAGAUGCUGUGAUACUGAUAGCAGUGAUUCAUUUUCUUUGUUGCUGUUGGCACCUGUUGACUAGGUGGGUUAGGAAUGAGGAUGCAUAUGCUGUGUCUGCAAACUUCCCAAUUUCAAAACGGUUAGACACACCCGAGUUAGCUUUGAUCUAGCUAGCCCGGAUUAAAAAAAGAUUGUGUGGAUUUAGUAGCGUGCAUUUUAGCAUAGCCUGUUUGAGACUGCAAGGGAGUCUUGGGGCUUAAUCUCUGCAGUCCUGUGCCCUGGAAAACAAAUGUUUUUUGUAAAGCUCUUGUUCGUGAAUUCUGUAGCUUGCAUAGAUGCAGAGAGCUGUGGCUGAAUGAGGUACAUGUAUUGUAUGCUGUGUGUGAAUUUUCCUGGUUAAUCUUUAACAGGUGGAGCGCACCAUACCUUAGAAUUAAUAAGGACUUAGUACUGUGUAGAAUUAUAAAUUUACAGUGAUUACCAAAUGAGGUGUUUACUGUGAUUGACAUCUUGUGGGACUGGUGAAGCAUUAGCAACCUGUGUAUUUCGAGUUUCUGCAUGACUUAGCUUGCAUGUUACGAGGGCUGCUCUGAAAGUAAUGCCUCCUAUUUUAUUACAUUGGCCCAUGACAUCAAAGGCGGAUGCUGGUAAUAUGGCAGGAGAGAUAGAACCUUCCCCAGACUCUUCCGCUGCAUUUUGUUGCUGUGUGACAAACAGCAGCAGAGGAGUGGUCUGACAGAAUGAUGUCUGACAUGAAAGUGUACGCGAAGCAAAGGUGUGUCAUUGAAUUCCGCCUUGUGGAAAAAAUGGUGCCCAAUGACGUUUAUCAAUAUGUGCUGAAUGUUUAUGGAGACCAAGCAGUGGAUGUGCACACAGUGAGAUGGUGGGUGGUGCGUUUCAACAGGAAUAUGCUUGAUUCCUUUGUGUUCUUGUGAACAAAAGCAGCUGCUGCUACAACUGCAUUGACCAUAAAAUUUCCUAAAUUCAUGCUUGAAAACAAAUAUCCUUAGUUGAAUUACAGGAUUUAUUUGGGAAGUGUCCCGUUUGAAUGAAAAUAUUUCUGGGAAUUUGGCAGUGGGCAAUCCUUAAAGGAUUCUGUCUCUCCCAGAGCAAAAGCAGCCUCAUUUCUAGCCUGCUAGAUGAAAGAUCAGGUUUGUUUCCUCCCUUACUUCCUACAUUCUUUCUGCAGGCAUUUUAUUUUUCUUCCACUUCUUUAGCAUCGUUCUUGAAAUGCAAAAGGAAGAACUACUUGUAGUUUCUUUAUGCCAAACAAAGUAAUGUAACUGCUUUGCUCCCUUUUUUUUGAUGCUCUUGUUCAUUACAGCAUUAGUGGAUUGUGCGAGAUUGGCCACAACUUUGUGUUUUGAGUUUUCUUUUGCAGAUGUGGUGGAUUCAAGGAAGCUAACUAAUAAAUUGAAGUAAUGCACAAAGCUGUCACCUGUGAAGAUCAGAGUUCACUCUUUCCACUUGAGAUCAGAGAAGAUCAGCUUGCUUUUCAGUCUAAUUGUAUUCACUGCUUAUGCAUAAUGCAAAACCACAACUUAACUCUGUUCCAUGUGAUGAAAGAUAAAGACCAGUCUAAGACAAUAUGAUAUUAGCUUUUCAGAUCCCAUAGAAUGAAUUACGUCUUUUUAUGUAUAAAACAUAACUUACGCGUACAUACACAUCACAGUGUGAAUGAUGCCAUGUAGCUUCAGCAUAAGCAGCAGUGCAAUUAAUAAAUAGUAUUUCCCAUUGGUCUUAAAUUGUUUCGAUUUUUUUUUUUGGCAUGUUAGUAUUUUUACUCAUACUUACAUUUAUUGUUAGAAGACGGUCAUUAAUUUAUAUCGUUAUUUCCAUAUUUGAAGGCUUAGUACUAAGAUGCAGUUCUUUAGUAUAUUGAAGCUGUGCAAUUUAUUGUGCUGAUGUUUUUUUUAUUAGCAGUAAUAUUUAUUUGCUUUUUUUCCCAGCAAAUGUGAACAAUCACAUUUUUAUUUUAAAUCACAGAAAGCUUAUUUGCAGAAGUUGCAAACAAUUUUCUAAGUUCAGUUUUGCUGCAAACUCAGCUUUGGUUUUGUGUCUGGUAUAUUGGAAAAUGUGACAGAACAAUUUUCUCCAAAUUGUUGAACUCAGGGUGGCAAAGUCUCUUCGUGUUUUGGAAUAGAUCGGAUAGUAUAACAGGUGAUUUGGGGGGUUUGGUGUCGUGCAUUUACUGUCCUUAUUGGUGAGUGUUUUGUACAUGAGUGGGCCUUCCCAGAUCAUAUGAGGGUGGCCCUCUCAUCCGUCCCAUCACUGUCUUGUCAUCUGUGAGGCUGAAUCCUUGGACCUAUCAGUGGCUCUCAUAUGUCCAGAACAGAGCUGGCCUGGCUGGCCUCUGGUUUAAGGCAAAAAAAAAAAAACCAGUUUCCUCACCUGUUUGUUGAAUCAUCUUGUUCUCUUGGUCCUAUCACAUCUGAAUUUGUUUGCAAACUUCUGGUUAUGCAACUGUGGUACUAGAAAUACUGCAGAUGACCUCCCCCCCCCCCCCCUUUUUUUUUAAUUAUUUUUUAAAACCUUGACUUGUCAUUCCUGUAACAUGGCCCUUAAAAAUCUUCAUUUCUUAGUAUGACAGUCAGAUGUUGGGGUAAGAACCACUGCUGUUCUCACUUCUUCAUGCUUCUGUGCAGUCAGUAAUAUUUGCGAAGACCACAGCCCAUAGUUGCAGUAACUGUGUGUGUAGGACAUACAGGAAAGAUAUGAUUAUUUGUAGUAUGAGGAAGCACUGAAUAAUCGUUGUUUAAACUCAAGUUUAACGUUUUUUUCUUCUUGCUCUUCUUUUAUUUUCUUCGUAAGCGAUCUUCUUCAGAAUAACUUCCUCCUUUAAUACCUCUUCUACUCUGCUCUAGAACCCAUGCCAAAGAUCUUUGCAGAAUGGAGGAAAAGUUGAUGUUGAGAACCAGCAUGCCCGCCCUUCUUCGGAGGAGAAAAUACUGCUAUAGCCUCUUUUCUUUGAAAACAACUGGCUAUUGGGAGGAGGUUGUUUGGAACGAGAAUGAGCUGUGAAAUAACUGGACACUGCGUGUCUUUCCAGCUGGGAUUAAUUUGGAAUCAAAAGUUUAUAGCAUUCUUUAAAUGUUCACAUGCUAGGCUGUGAGGGAGUAAGAGGGGACAGACAUACAUUCCUUGCAAAUCUUAGCUUCUUGCGUCUGUCCGUGACUAUAAAAGGGAAGCAGGGAUAGAUAUGGUAAGAUUUGAGGGAGAGGGGAAGAAAAAGAGUAGAGAAAAGGACAGGUAAAGGCAGUGGCUAUUUAAUAUCUUCACUGUGAAAUUAAAAUUCGGGCCAAGUACUCCAUCUGGGAUUGUUCUGCAAUGCAGUCGUCAUGUCUUUGUUGGUAAAGGCUAAUCUGGGUUUUUCAGCUUUGCUUUUAUUAAAAUGGCUUGGAUGUAGAGAGGAAUGUUGAUACUCGUGACCAUCUUAAAAGAACAGGUUAAAUGUUUGGACAAGUUGGAUUCGUUUUCUCAUAUGUUAAAAUCCUAGCAGUUGUCUUUCAUCCAGAAAUCACAUUAUAGCUAGCUUGUGUGCUUUUGGUUAAAUCAAAGGUCCCGCUGGCCUAGUGCUGCUGCCUCUGACAGAGCCUGGCAACAGCUGUACGCGGAGGAGUAUGGGAAUGGUUUGUAGGCUCAUUUGGUGACUUCUGUCUCAGGAACUGGAUCAGAACUUUUUUUUUUUACUCUUCAUUACCUUCUUCUUUCUCUUCUUCAUUUUUCUUUUAUUUGGGAAGAGCAGCAUUGCAUUUGAUACUCAAUGUGAAAGUUGCUGCGCAGCGGUAAUGACGUAGGACCAGUGUUCCCUUCAGAAUAAAUGUAUGCAGGUGUGUUUUGUUGCUGCUGCCAUUUUUUUCUUUAUCUUUUUUUUUUUUUUGGCAAAAAUAAGGGAUGUUUCCUUCUUUCUCUUUCAGUAGGCUGUAGAGAACUAACAUUGUUCUCUCCUUUUUUCGGUAGAACCAAUUCUUGAGGCAGGAGUUUGUUCUGAGUGAUCCAGCUAUAAGCAUUAUACUGACUGAUGCUUAUACUGUUGCUUCAACUGCAAAUGCAGUUUACCGUUAGAAUAAUUUAAUUCUCUUUUAGUACCUAUGCAGUGAUGAUCAAGUUCUAAAUUGAAUGGUAAAACGUUGGAAUAACAUCUCUUGGUUGGCAGUCGUGUUGCCAGCACAUCUCAGGAUCACACCAGUCGUCAUAGCAUAUAUCAAUUUAGAACAUCUUUCUUUUGUGCUUUUUUUUCUCCCCCUCAGCUAAUCUGUUGGGCAUGAAAUGUAAUUUUCAUCUUAUACGAUCUGUAUGUGUUUGCUUUUAUACAAUUGGACUCUGUGGCUUAUAGUAUCAUCUUAUUUUUAGUGCAAGCACAUCAGACCUGUAAUUUCAGAUUUACUGUUUGGAGAACAGUUUUUUUUUCCAGUGAGUACUUCUGACAAGGAAUUACAGAACUAUAUCUGGAGUGUUUUUAGGAAUGAGCAUUAUCAAAAAUGAGAAACAGCUAUGUCAAGAUGUCAUGCUUUGCAGUAGUGGAACCUAUGUGCUAUGAAGUUUCUCCUUACUUUAUAGUACCGAACUGUGAAGUACGUUUAAAGCUUAGAGGGCAGAGAGUGAUUAUGUUGUAUCAUGUUAUACUUUGUGUUACAGAAGGUGGUCUUUCUUGUUCCUGGGUUGAACAGCUGAUAAACACCCCCCGCCUUGUAUUUUUCUUUUCCUUCUCUGUACUAAGGAAUGGGAGAAUCUGCCUUCUUUCUGAAAUAACGAUGAAACUAUUGGAGGUAAUGUGCUGUUAAGUUUAAGCCUGUUUAGUUAAGGUUACUUACUGUAUGUUUUGAGGCUGAAUCCUAUGAUUCGUUUUUGUUCUGAAAUGAUUCUUUUAUUUUCUGUUUAAGAUGGUGAAGAAUUCUUUUCCACAGUGCACUGUUACUGAAAGGAGAGAAAAGAGCAGCUAUGUUAACUGGAUAAAAAACAAUUACAGAGAUCUGCUUUGAGAUGCUAUUCAGAAAGCAGUGCGGCAAGGUAUAAUAUUUAGCAGUGAUGGUAUCUUUUCAGUAUUGGUUACAGUGUAAUAGUAAUAGUUCAGAGAUACUUGGUUGGUUGAAAUAUUUUUGUGCUGGUCAGAAAUACACUUACUUUGUAUGUACAUACUGUUCCUUAAACCUGCUUUAACGAUGAUUUGCAUUUCCUAGCAGCUUUUGAACCUGCUGGUUUCAAACAUGUUUGUUGGAUGGGUGCAAGACUAGAUUAUACUAAGUUCCAGAUAGCUUGUGCAGCAUCGUGGCUUGAGCGGAGAAACAUGUGUUGUGCUGCCCAGCUGGAGAGUGCAGUGCGAGCGCUUCUCAGGCAAUGGACCCAAAUGAAUUAAGCUGAAUAAAUGAGGAGAGAGGAAGGUGCUUUGGAACACAGGAAACUAUUCAGUAAGAAACCAAACCCAACUAGGUUUCUUCACUAGUCUUGGCAUACUUGGUUUUUAUUACACUAUUCUUACUUUUACUCCACAUAAACCAAACAGGGAGGCUCUGCUUGUAAUCCAGAAUUGCUCAAGGGUAGAUGUGCAAUUAGUAUUUUUAUUAAUGGUACAUAUGCACCUGAAUGAUCUUGUAAAUGAUUUGGUUGCAUAGUGUACUCCUGAAUAACACGCAAAUAAUUUUUCCAUAGGAAUUUUGGAGUUAAGUCAGUUUGGAAGUUGAUUUGAGGAAAAACGUAUGUAGGAAUUGCAAAUUGUGAUGAAGAUACAGAGCCCAUGGGUUGUCAGAUAACGGAGAUACUAAGGGAGUACUUCAAAAUUGAUAUUCUUCAUCAUCUUACCAUGUGCAUAUCUGUGCUCCUGAUACCUGAUGCUUUUUAAACAAAUCAUUUCACUUGUCAUCUUUUGUUGUAACAUAUGUUGGGAGUUUAUGUGGAUCAAAGAUGACCCGGAGUGUAAGAAAAUGUCAUCAAUACCUUAUUAGUAGGAAGGUGUUUUUUGUUAUCAGCUAGGAUUAGUAACUAUUUCAGUAAGUCCAUUUUGUUAGUCUGAGAAUCUUUAUAAUGUGUUCUAGUGCAUUUGUUAUACUUGUAAGAGUAAACAGUGUAAUCACAGAUCUGUCACAAGCGGGAACAGAGGGUACCUCAGCAUAGUUUCUCUUUAUAAUAACAAUAGGAUCAGUAUAAAACAUAACACCUUUUGGACCAGUGUUUUUGUUUUGUGUAAACCACGUGGUGCUUUCCUUUAUUUUGAUAGAUUCUCACUUAGAAAUUCAGUAUUAAACUUUUGUCUGUCAGAAUAGGAUCUAAUGUAUAAGCAUCUUUAUUCUGACCAAAGGAAUGUAGACAAGUACUUGAAAAAGAAGCUUAAGUAUCUAUCCUCUACCCUUCAAACCAAAAGCAAAUCCCCAAAAUACUAGGGAGCUUUGUUGAUGAUAUCAAGGUGCCUCUGCCUAACGUAUUCAAGAAUGAAAUCCCUCACAAUGAUGUAGGAUUUCUUUUCUGGACUUCAAAAGAUGUUUAGACAGCUGCUUAUUCUCUAGCGUAAUGUUUUAUUUCAGUACUCCAUAUAAAAGAGGGCAGAUUUUUAAAAAUUUACCCAGUAUGUAGACCAA